rnacentral:tRNA from 1 species
UGGGGUGUGGCUCAGAGGUAUAGCUUUCACCUAGCAUGUGUGAGGCCCUGGGUUUUAUCCUCAGCACCACAU